rnacentral:rRNA from 1 species
CAGCAGCCACGGUAAUACAGAGGGUGCGAGCGUUAAUCGGAUUUACUGGGCGUAAAGCGUGCGUAGGCGGCUUUUUAAGUCGGAUGUGAAAUCCCUGAGCUUAACUUAGGAAUUGCAUUCGAUACUGGGAAGCUAGAGUAUGGGAGAGGAUGGUAGAAUUCCAGGUGUAGCGGUGAAAUGCGUAGAGAUCUGGAGGAAUACCGAUGGCGAAGGCAGCCAUCUGGCCUAAUACUGACGCUGAGGUACGAAAGCAUGGGGAGCAAACAGGAUUAGAUACCCGAGUAGUCCCUGUCUCUUAUAA